UAGGGAAUUUUCGGCAAUGGGGGGAACCCUGACCGAGCAACGCCGCGUGAACGAAGAAGUAUUUCGGUAUGUAAAGUUCUUUUAUUGGAGAAGAAAGAGAAAUUUGACGGUAACCAAUGAAUAAGCUCCGGCUAACUACGUGCCAGCAGCCGCGGUAAUACGUAGGGAGCGAGCGUUAUCCGGAAUUAUUGGGCGUAAAGGGUGCGUAGAUGGUUGAUAUAAGUCUUUUGUAAAAAUGCUAGGCUCAACCUAGUAGGGCAAAAGAUACUGAUGAACUAGAGUACGGCAGAGGCAAGUGGAACUACAUGUGUAGCGGUAAAAUGCGUAAAUAUAUGUAAGAACACCGGUGGCGAAGGCGGCUUGCUGGGCCUGUACUGACAUUGAGGCACGAAAGCGUGGGGAGCAAACAGG
rnacentral:rRNA from 1 species